rnacentral:rRNA from 1 species
GGACCCGCACAAGCGGUGGAACAUGUGGUUUAAUUCGAUGCUACGCGAAAAACCUCACCAAGGCUUGACAUACAGGAAGUAGUGAACCGAAAGGGGAACGACCUGUCAAAUCAGGAGCCUGAACAGGUGCUGCAUGGCUGUCGUCAGCUCGUGUCGUGAGAUGUUGGGUUAAGUCCCGCAACGAGCGCAACCAUUGUCUUUAGUUGCAACCAUUUUUAACCUUCGGGUUAGGAGUGAGCACUCUAAAGAGACUGCCUGGGUUAACCAGGAGGAAGGUGGAGAUGACGUCAAGUCAGUACGGCCUUUAUGCCUUGGGCUACACACGUGUUACAAUGGUCAGUACAAAGGGUUGCCAACCCGUAAGGGGGAGCUAAUCUCAAAAAACUGACCUCAGUUCGGAUUGAAGUCUGCAAUUCGACUUCAUGAAGCUGGAAUCGCUAGUAAUGGUAGAUCAGCACGCUACCGUGAAUACGUUCCCGGGUCUU